UUCCGCACAGAGUACUGCAGAAUCAAGUUUUCAAUGGGCCUAAGCACUUAUGGACUGCGUCCAACAAUUUUCCUUGUGUCUGGGGCAAAGAGAUAAAAACACUACUAGUGCUCUGUUGUCAAGGGCCCAAGAGAUCCAUUUUUGUUGUUCACAGCUUCACGUGAUUCUGUUCGUUUCCCAAUCCCAACCCUGCCCUCUGGCCUCUGGGGGUCCAAUGCAGUUGUACUCGCCUCUUGCUCUCGUCCCGCCCCCGACGGAUGAGGCGACCUCAUUUCCCCCCUAACGACUCUCACUCGUAGGAGCUCCUCUACCGAGCUCUCAUCCGGCGACGGCGCCAACGGCCGGCCCUCCAUCGCCUCCACGGAGCUUUUCCGGCGCCGUCCACGGAGGUUUCCCCGCGCUAGGAGGUCGAAAUGCAAAGCUGGAUGAAAUUGAUGGAGAAUAAUUUUGGAAGCAAUGAGCUUGAUGCUGAUGAGUUCAAUUUUAGAGCAAUGCCCGACGAACAAGCCUCUACGGCUCUACAGAGGCACCUACGGAGGCUUCUCCCACCUUGAAGAUAUGAAACAAGAACAAGAAGAGACGAAAAAUACCGCCGUUCGAAAUAUAGCCGUUCGAUUAUAGCCGUUGCAAAUACAGCUGUUGUUCAAAUAAUCAUUAGCUGCCAAAUUAUUAAGAAACUAAUGGUUAUAAAUAAUUCCGUUCAUAAAUUAUUGGUAGGAAAUAUAACAUUCAUAAAAUCAUUAUUGAUAAUAAACACCGUUUCGAUA